rnacentral:lncRNA from 1 species
GUUCAGACGCUGCAGUUCACAUUCGGCAUCUUUUUUUGCAGGAAGCACAGAUGAAAUUUCACAGCACUCAGCUCCAGUCACUGCCAUGGGAUGUGACCAGGGCACAGCAUUUCCUGGCAGAGCUCGGGUUCUUGCUCAUUUUGAAAACAUUUUCCCUUUUUUCUGUGUUCCUGAAACAGAAGUUGCUGGAGAUAAGAAUUACUUUAGUUACACGUGCAACCUGUCAUGCGUUCCAAUCUGCAUUUCUUCUCAGCCUUCAGUGACUGUGGCACAACAAUUAGCUCCAUUAUCUGCAAUGGAACACAAGUUGCAGCCAGAGGUGCUUCUUAGGCAAAUGGGAUUUGGCA